GCUCUCUCGUCGUCGUCUUGGUGCUGUCGGUCACAGCUGCCUCAGGCAUGCCCACAGAGCAGGGACGAUUUCACCAGCAAAUCGCUGCCCCAGAGGCAGGGAGUCGCAGCCCCUGGGAGUGUCCAGCAGGGUUCCAUGUGGAGGAAGCCAGUGGAGAGUGUGUCCG